UCCGCUUAAUUUUAAGCAUAAAUCCAGAAAUUUAACAAUUAUCACGUGAUCCAAGCCGAAAAUUUUCUGGGUUUUACCAAAGAUUCAAAUUUUCUCCCAUAAUUAACACAAAUAAGAGUUAGAAAUCGUAUAAAAAACUAUUACUAAAUAGACACAUACACAUCAUUAUCCACCAUAAUAAAGAAAAUCAGAGAAAUUUUUUAUUACCUCCAAGAGAGCAAAAGAUUCUGGGCUGGCGAUUAGAGGGAGAGAUUAAAGUCAAUUUAGAAGAGAUUGAUGAAAGUGAGCUGCUAUAAAUGGAAGCCAUUUUGCCCACUUUUUAAAUGAAAAGUAUUAUAAAAACAAGAUUAUCUCAAUCUUGAAUUCCUGUUUGCAUCCCGCUCAGAAUUUGAUCUUUACUUUUGUUAUAUAAACCCCAUAAAAUUUAGGGGAAGAAGGGAUAAUAAAAAGAUAAGGGACGAAUCUAACAAUCUAAUCUUCUUUCGACGUUCGGACCACCUCGUCAGUUCAAACAUGGGUGCGGGGCCCCUGUCCAUUCUUCUUCUUGAUUUUAUUUUUAUUUAUUUUUAUUAAUUACUGCUAUAGGGUCUUCUGAAUUGAGCCAGGCUUGGAAGUUGAGAGUCAACAGGAAAACUUACAGAAACAGCAGUACUUAGAGUCAAUAAUGAAAUGUGGCAAUUUUAUUUGUUAGAGUGAACCAUUUUAUUUUGCAUGAACCAACACAAAUUCACAGCAUCCCGAUAGUUGUCAAGAACAUUUCUUUUAGUUCAAGUACUUCAUAAGAAAAAUUAUUUUCAACAAUUGAGGGAGAUUUAUAAUUAUAAUCAAGGAUUACAAGGAAUAGCAAUAUAGUAUAAUUGUCAAUCCUGGACCAUUCUACCAUGACAAUACCUUGGUUGUCCACAUAACCCCAAGGGGUUGUCCAAGGGGUUUAAGCCGUCAAUCUUUAUGUAAUUGUUGUAAAAUUUUAAUGUGUUUGUUGAAUCAUUUUUAUGAUUCUCAAGCAAUAUUAUGGUAGACCAAAAUCAAUAUUAAGUAGUAAUUAUGAGAAUUGAUUUUUUAACCGUUAGAGAGAAAAGUAGUUUUUAUCUGUGGAUGAAAAAGUCAAAAAUGAAGGCAAGAUUAGAGAAAUAACUGUCAAA
rnacentral:lncRNA from 1 species